rnacentral:rRNA from 1 species
UACGUAGGGGGCAAGCAUUGUCCGGAAUCAUUGGGCGUAAAGAGCGUGUAGGCGGCUUGGUAAGUCCGCUGUGAAAGUCCAGGGCUCAACCCUGGAAAGCCGGUGGAAACUGUCAAGCUUGAGUCCGGAAGAGGCGAGUGGAAUUCCUGGUGUAGCGGUGAAAUGCGCAGAUAUCAGGAGGAACACCAAUGGCGAAGGCAGCUCGCUGGGACGGUACUGACGCUGAGACGCGAAAGCGUGGGGAGCAAACAGG